GACGUAGGGCGCGAGCGUUGUCCGGAUUUAUUGGGCGUAAAGAGCUCGUAGGCGGUCUGUCGCGUCGGCUGUGAAAUCCCGAGGCUCAACCUCGGGUCUGCAGUCGAUACGGGCAAACUAGAGUAUUGCAGGGGAGACUGGAAUUCCUGGUGUAGCGGUGAAAUGCGCAGAUAUCAGGAGGAACACCGGUGGCGAAGGCGGCCCACUGGCUCGACACUGACGCUGAGGUGCGAAAGCGUGGGGAGCAAACAGG
rnacentral:rRNA from 1 species